rnacentral:rRNA from 1 species
CCUACGGGAGGCUGCAGUGGGGAAUAUUGGUCAAUGGCCGGAAGGCUGAACCAGCCACGCCGCGUGAAGGACGAAGGUGCCCAGCAUUGUAAACUUCUUUUGUCAAGGGACAAAAUCAGGCUCGAGAGCCUGACCGAGGGUACUUGAAGCAAAAGCAUCCGCUAACUCCGUGCCAGUAGCCGCGGUAAUACGGAGGAUGCGAGCGUUAUCCGGAUUUAUUGGGUGUAAAGGGUGCGUGGUCGGGCUGUUAAGUCAGCGGUAAAAGCCCGGGGCUCAACCCCGGCGAGCCGUUGAAACUGGCUGUCUUGAGAUGUCGAGAGGUAUGCGGAAUGCGCAGUGUAGCGGUGAAAGGCUUAGAUAGUGCGCAGAACUCCGAUUGCGAAGGCAGCAUACCGGCGGCGAUCUGACGCUGAGGCACGAAAGCGUGGGUAUCGAACAGGAUUAGAUACCCGAGUAGUC